rnacentral:tRNA from 1 species
GUCCCCGUAGUUUAAUGGAUAGAAUGCGAGCUUGCGGAGUUUGCGAUAGAGGUUCGAUUCCUCUCGGGGACA